UACAGAGGGGGCUAGCGUUGUUCGGAAUUACUGGGCGUAAAGGGCGCGUAGGUGGCCUGUUAAGUCGAACGUGAAAUCCCCGGGCUCAACCCGGGAACUGCGUCCGAGACUGGCAGGCUCGAAUCCGGGAGAGGGAUGUGGAAUUCCAGGUGUAGCGGUGAAAUGCGUAGAUAUCUGGAGGAACACCGGUGGCGAAGGCGGCAUCCUGGACCGGUAUAGACGCUGAGGCGCGAAAGCCAGGGGAGCAAACGGG
rnacentral:rRNA from 1 species